rnacentral:siRNA from 1 species
UGUCGUCCUUUCUUGGUGCACUA